GCCAUGAAGAAAGCAAACUACAACUCCCAUGUGGCAGCACGACAGCUCAGAUACCAGUGAGAAAACCCAGCAGGUUGGGACAGCUGAGAGGAAGUCUUCGUUUUCUCAUGUCAAACAGGAUCUAGACGGAGCAAAAAUGCAAAGGCCAGAGCUGCAGGAGUCAACAUUGUGUCACACGCCUACCCUGACUGUUAAUACUGGAUGAGAUUCCUACUUGAAAUACUACAGCAACGCUCACCCAUGCUAGGUCUUGUCAGAACUCCCAUUCAUAAUCAACUGGAAUAAUUCAUGAUAGACUGAAACCUGGCUUGAAAGUCUCGGCACAGGA